rnacentral:rRNA from 1 species
AACGAACGCUGGCGGCGCGCUUAAUACAUGCAAGUCGAGCGAGAAAGCACCUUCGGGUGUAAGUACAGCGGCAGACGGGUGAGUAAUACUUAGGUAACCUGCCCUUUAGCGGGGAAUAACCUUCCGAAAGGAGGGCUAAUACCCCAUAAGACCACAGUUACUCCGGUGACAGUGAUCAAAGGUGCCCUCUAUUUAUAAGGUAUCACUAGGGGAUGGGCUUAAGCACCAUUAGCUUGUUGGUAGGGUAACGGCCUACCAAAGCAACGAUGGUUAGCUGAUCUGAGAGGUUGAUCAGCCACACUGGAACUGAGACACGGUCCAG